rnacentral:rRNA from 1 species
GUGAGUAACACGUGGGCAACUGCUGUAAGACUGGGAUAACUCCGGGAAACCGGGGCUAAUACCGGAUAAUUCUUUCCCUCACAUGAGGGAAAGCUGAAAGAUGGCAUCUCGCUAUCACUUACAGAUGGGCCCGCGGCGCAUUAGCUAGUUGGUGAGGUAACGGCUCACCAAGCACGAUGCGUAGCCGACCUGAGAGGGUGAUCGGCCACACUGGGACUGAGACACGGCCCAGACUCCUACGGGAGGCAGCAGUAGGGAAUCUUCCGCAAUGGACGAAAGUCUGACGGAGCAACGCCGCGUGAGUGAUGAAGGUUUUCGGAUCGUAAAACUCUGUUGUCAGGGAAGAACAAGUACCGGAGUAACUGCCGGUACCUUGACGGUACCUGACCAGAAAGCCACGGCUAACUACGUGCCAGCAGCCGCGGUAAUACGUAGGUGGCAAGCGUUGUCCGGAAUUAUUGGGCGUAAAGCGCGCGCAGGCGGUUCCUUAAGUCUGAUGUGAAAGCCCCCGGCUCAACCGGGGAGGGUCAUUGGAAACUGGGGAACUUGAGUGCAGAAGAGAAGAGUGGAAUUCCACGUGUAGCGGUGAAAUGCGUAGAGAUGUGGAGGAACACCAGUGGCGAAGGCGACUCUUUGGUCUGUAACUGACGCUGAGGCGCGAAAGCGUGGGGAGCAAACAGGAUUAG